rnacentral:lncRNA from 1 species
GGAGGAAGGAAGAGGUGCGGUGGGCGGUGUGUGAGUGAGGGGAUGGGGGGCGUGAGGCUCGUCUUCUUUCUCCCGACGGCAAAGCGAUUCGGGGCCAAGAUUGGGGGGGNNNNNNNNNNNNNNNNNNNNNNNNNNNNNNNNNNNNNNNNNNNNUCGCGGCUGAGUCAGGCGGGAGGCUCGCCGCAGCCGCCCCCACCUCCCCGACCGUCCCCAUUUGCUCGCCCCCGCUCGCGAGCAGGUGGCAAAAGCUCAGCGAGAUACGCGAGAAAACGGCGCAGCGCCGGGGCUGGGUGGAGAGACUGGAGGUACUAACGCACACAGUUACUCACCUGUGAAGCAAAUAGGGAGGGGGGGUGAGCGCGGACGUGAGUGGGAACACGCAACCACACAGAGACAUACACCGAUACAGAGUGGGCGGCUGCUGCAGGCGGGAGGGGGAGCGCCGGGCCUGGGAGACAUGGCUUUAUUUCGGUGUUACUCAUUUUAAAAGCGCCUCGACUGAGCGCGGGGUCCUGGAGAAGCUCAGAGAGAGAGAGAGAGGCAGGCGAAGCGGGUUAUGAAUGGAAGGGAAGGUAAUGAAUGAAUGAAUGAAGGGAAGAGGCGAGGAGAAUCCGGAUCAGCAGCGCGCGCACUCCCCUCACCCCCCCCACACACACACACACUGCGCGCGCUCCCCGCUGUGUUCCAAACGUGUCUCGUUCUGGGAGAUCAAAGGCGAAAAGGAGGCGAGGGUGGAUCCGUCUUCGGGGAGAGGAAAAAAACAGUGAAUGGAGCAGAAGCAAUAGCCAUUUUAAAAAAAAAGUUUUCUUCUUGUUCUAGGCCUCGCCAGGCCCAGGGAACGGCAGCGUGCAGGAAAGGGCAGCAGGCACCCCACAUUCACCGAGGCACGUUGUUUGCAUAAAAUAUUCAGCAGAUCCAGCGCUGAUGGCGGAGGGGGUGUGCGGGUGCGGUGGAGUGGGGGGAGAGAGCAUUGUAUCCUGUUUUAUUUUUGUAAAGAGCCUUUGACGGAUAGCUCCCGUCACAACCACCUAACCAGAUCGGCUCAGAAUAGCAACACUUAGCACAUGCAUAAUGUCUUUGGAUCUUCAAGGCACUUUUACGGGUUUUUUGUUUUCUCUCUCUGUGUGUGUUUUUAAACUAAACAUGAAUGGAUGAAAUCUUUGUGGAAGAAAGGAGAAAAUCCAACAUUGUGAAACAAGGAGAUAACGGUUUUAAUAUAGCCCUCCUUUAUGUGUGGUCUGUGCUGGUUUUGUAGCCUGCAGGUGAAUGGCCCUUCGAAAAGGGGGUAGAAGAAUAAAGGGUAGGACUGAUGCCCUUGCUUACA